UGUGAUCCUCUAUCAUAUGCUGCAACUUUGAUGCUUCCUUCUGAGUUUCGGAAUCUCUAUGUACAUCCCUAAGCACCUGACCGAGGUCAUCAGUAUGGCCAUCUUCUGCAAACUCAUCUUCAUCAGCCUCACCCAUUGUAGUAUCUGCAAAAGCUUGGCCUAUAGCGCAGUUCGGAAUGUUGUCAUCAUCAUCCUCCUCUUCACCGUCUUCCAUUAC
rnacentral:lncRNA from 1 species